GACGAACGCUGGCGGCGUGCCUAAUACAUGCAAGUAGAACGCUGAGGACUGGUGCUUGCACUGGUCUAAGGAGUUGCGAACGGGUGAGUAACGCGUAGGUAACCUACCUCAUAGCGGGGGAUAACUAUUGGAAACGACUGCUAAUACCGCAUAACGUGCUCUAAGGGCAUCCUUGGUGUACCAAAGAUUUAUCGCUGAUAGAUGGGCUCGCGUCUGAUUAGAUAGUUGGUGGGGUAACGGCCUACCAAGUCGACGAUCAGUAGCCGGACUGAGAGGUUGAACGGCCACAUUGGGACUGAGACACGGCCCAG
rnacentral:rRNA from 1 species